rnacentral:rRNA from 1 species
CCUACGGGGGGCAGCAGUGGGGAAUUUUCCGCAAUGGGCGAAAGCCUGACGGAGCAAUACCGCGUGAGGGAUGACGGCCUUCGGGUUGUAAACCUCUUUUAUCAAGGAGGCGGUACUUGAUGAAUAAGCAUCGGCUAACUCCGUGCCAGCAGCCGCGGUAAGACGGAGGAUGCAAGUGUUAUCCGGAAUCACUGGGCGUAAAGCGUCUGUAGGUGGUUUAAAAAGUCUGCUGUUAAAAGUUGAAGCUUAACUUCAAAGAUGCCGUAGAAACUUUUAAACUCGAGGAUGGUAGGGGUAGAGGGAAUUUCCAGUGGAGCGGUGAAAUGCGUAGAUCUUGGAAAGACCACCAAUGGCGAAGGCACUCUACUGGGCAUACUGACACUAAGAGACGAAAGCUAGGGGAGCAAAUGGGAUUAGAUACCCUUGUAGUC